rnacentral:rRNA from 1 species
CACGUAGGGGGCGAGCGUUGUCCGGAAUCACUGGGCGUAAAGGGCACGUAGGCGGUUUGUUAAGUCUGAUGUUAAAGACUGGGGCUCAACCCCGGCAUGGCGUUGGAUACUGGCAGGCUUGACGGUUGGAGAGGCGAGUGGAAUUGCCAGUGUAGCGGUGGAAUGCGUAGAUACUGGUAGGAACACCCAUUGCGAAGGCAGCUCGCUGGACAACACGUGACACUGAGGCGCGAAAGUGUGGGGAGCAAACCGGAUUAGAUACCCCGGUAGU